UGGCUCAGAACGAACACUGGCGGCAGGCCUAACACAUGCAAGUCGAGCGCCGUAGCAAUACGGAGCGGCAGACGGGAGAGUAACACGUGGGAACGUGCCCUUCAGUUCGGAACAACCCAGGGAAACUUGGGCUAAUACCGGAUACGUCCGUAAGGAGAAAGAUUUAUCGCUGAAGGAUCGGCCCGCGUCUGAUUAGCUAGUUGGUGGGGUAAUGGCCCACCAGGGCGACGAUCAGUAGCUGGUCUGAGAGGACGACCAGCCACACUGUUGUUCUGAGACACGGGAAAGACUCCUACGGGAGUCAGCAGUGGGG
rnacentral:rRNA from 2 species